UUGGAGGGCAAGUCUGGUGCCAGCAGCCGCGGUAAUUCCAGCUCCAAUAGCGUAUAUUAAAGUUGUUGCAGUUAAAAAGCUCGUAGUUGAAUUUCGGGGUCAGUAGGUUGGUCAUGCCACUGGUAUGUACUGGUCUCACUGAUUCCUCCUUCCUGAUGAGCUGUAAUGCCAUUAAUUUGGUGUUGCGGGGAAUCUGGACUGUUACUUUGAAAAAAUUAGAGUGUUUAAAGCAGGCUAACGCCUGAAUACAUUAGCAUGGAAUAAUGAAAUAGGACGUUCGAUCCUAUUUUGUUGGUUUCUAGGAUCAACGUAAUGAUUAAUAGGGAUAGUUGGGGGCAUUAGUAUUCAAUUGUCAGAGGUGAAAUUCUUGGAUUUAUUGAAGACUAACUACUGCGAAAGCAUUUGCCAAGGAUGUUUUCAUUAAUCAAGAACGAAAGUUAGGGGAUCGAAGACGAUCAGAUACCGUCGUAGUCUUAACCAUAAACUAUGCCGACUAGGGAUCGGAUGAUGUUAAUUUUUUAAUGACUCGUUCGGCGCCUUACGGGAAAC
rnacentral:rRNA from 1 species